AAUAGAUACCCUGGUAGUCCACGCCGUAAACGAUGGAUACUAGCUGUUUGAGCGCAAGUUUGAGUGGCUAAGCGAAAGUGAUAAGUAUCCCACCUGGGGGUACGGGCGCAAGCCUGAAACUCAAAGGAAUUGACGGGGGCCCGCACAAGCGGUGGAGCAUGUGGUUUAAUUCGAUGAUACGCGAGGAACCUUACCAGGGCUUAAAUGUAGAUUGACGUAUUUGGAAACAGAUAUUUCUUCGGACAAUUUACAAGGUGCUGCAUGGUUGUCGUCAGCUCGUGCCGUGAGGUGUCAGGUUAAGUCCUAUAACGAGCGCAACCCCUGUUGUUAGUUGCCAGCGAGUAAUGUCGGGAACUCUAGCAAGACUGCCGGUGUAAACUGUGAGGAAGGUGGGGAUGACGUCAAAUCAUCACGGCCCUUACGUCCUGGGCCACACACGUGCUACAAUGGCCGGUACAGAGAGCAGCCACUUAGCGAUAAGGAGCGAAUCUAUAAAGCCGGUCACAGUUCGGAUCGGAGUCUGC
rnacentral:rRNA from 1 species